rnacentral:rRNA from 1 species
UACGUAGGUGGCAAGCGUUGUCCGGAUUUACUGGGCGUAAAGGGCGUGCAGGCGGUUUGUUUAGUCUAGGGUGAAAGCUCCCGGCUUAACUGGGAGAGGUCCUUGGAUACUGGCAAACUUGAGGGAGGCAGAGGAAAGUGGAAUUCCCGGUGUAGUGGUGAUAUGCGUAGAUAUCGGGAGGAACACCAGUGGCGAAGGCGGCUUUCUGGGCCUUACCUGACGCUGAGACGCGAAAGCGUGGGGAGCGAACGGG